rnacentral:rRNA from 1 species
GAUGAACGCUAGCGGCAGGCUUAACACAUGCAAGUCGAGGGGUAUAGUUCUUCGGAAUUAGAGACCGGCGCACGGGUGCGUAACGCGUAUGCAAUCUACCUUUCACAGAGGGAUAGCCCCAGAGAAAUUUGGAUUAAUACCUCAUAGUAUAGCAGUUUCGCAUGAAACCACUAUUAAAGUCACAACGGUGAAAGAUGAGCAUGCGUCCCAUUAGCUAGUUGGUAAGGUAACGGCUUACCAAGGCAACGAUGGGUAGGGGUCCUGAGAGGGAGAUCCCCCACACUGGUACUGAGACACGGACCAGACUCCUACGGGAGGCAGCAGUGAGGAAUAUUGGACAAUGGGCGCAAGCCUGAUCCAGCCAUGCCGCGUGCAGGAUGACGGUCCUAUGGAUUGUAAACUGCUUUAUACAGGAAGAAACACUACUUCGUGAAGUAGCUUGACGGUACUGUAAGAAUAAGGAUCGGCUAACUCCGUGCCAGCA